rnacentral:rRNA from 1 species
GACGAACGCUGGCGGCGUGCUUAACACAUGCAAGUCGAACGAUGAAGCUGGAGCUUGCUCCGGUGGAUUAGUGGCGAACGGGUGAGUAACACGUGAGCAAUCUGCCCUUGACUCUGGGAUAACUGCGGGAAACUGUAGCUAAUACCGGAUACGAGGCUCGAAGGCAUCUUCGGGUCUGGAAAGAAUUUCGGUCAAGGAUGAGCUCGCGGCCUAUCAGAUUGUUGGUGAGGUAAUGGCUCACCAAGGCGACGACGGGUAGCCGGCCUGAGAGGGUGACCGGCCACACUGGGACUGAGACACGGCCCAGACUCCUAUGGGAGGCAGCAGUGGGGAAUAUUGCACAAUGGGCGAAAGCCUGAUGCAGCAACGCCGCGUGAGGGAUGAAGGCCUUCGGGUUGUAAACCUCUUUUAGCAGGGAAGAAGCGAAAGUGACGGUACCUGCAGAAAAAGCACCGGCUAACUACGUGCCAGCCGCCGCAGUAA